rnacentral:rRNA from 1 species
ACGAACGCUGGCGGCGUGCUUAACACAUGCAAGUCGAACGUGAAAGUCCUUCGGGAUGAGUAAAGUGGCGCACGGGUGAGUAAUAAAUAGGAACGUACCUAUAGGUUUGGGAUAACUACGGGAAACUGUGGCUAAUACCGGAUGAGAUCGUAAGAUGAAAGAGGGCCUCUGCUUGCAAGCUCUCGCCUGUAGAUCGGCCUAUUUCCCAUUAGCUAGUUGGUAAGGUAAAGGCUUACCAAGGCUACGAUGGGUAACUGGUCUGAGAGGACGAUCAGUCACACUGGAACUGAGACACGGUCCAGACUCCUACGGGAGGCAGCAGUGGGGAAUAUUGCACAAUGGGCGCAAGCCUGAUGCAGCAACGCCGCGUGAGUGAAGAAGGCCCUUGGGUUGUAAAGCUCUUUAGGUUGGGAAGAGGGAACUGUUACCUAACACGUAAUGGUUCUGACGGUACCAGCAGAAUAAGCACCGGCUAACUCCGU